rnacentral:tRNA from 1 species
GGUCUAUUAACUUAGUUGGUUAGAAUGUUGUGUUAAUAAUACGAAAGUCGUAGGUUUAAUUCUUGUUUAGAUCA